AGCUUGGAGAGAAAGUGAAGGAGCAGAUGAAGAAGAGGUGUCAAGAUCCUGAUGUAAGUGGGAUGGUGGUUGAUAUUCAGGUGUUUAAGUGUGAGAACAUCAAUGGAAGAAGUGCUGGUAUGUAGUGAUGAGGUGUUGGUAUAAAUGGAAAGUUACUGAAUGUCCAUCUGUCACUGCUGCUGUCGUUGGAGGGAGUGAAUGUGCAGAAGCAGACUUUGGAGCCUGGAGUGCGGGUUGCUGGUUUGAGAGUGUGUUUUGUAGCAGAUGAGGUGGAUGCUGGGGCCAUCAUUGUGUAGGAGGCGGUGCCAGUGCUGGGUGGAGAUACAGAGGAGAGUCUGUCAGACAUAAUCAGGGAGGCCGAGGUUUACCUCCUGCUCUGGAUGUGGUGGCUGGUGGAGGAGUUGGGCUUGCAGAGGACGGAUACAUCAUGUGGAAGUGGAGUUGAAUUGAAGAACAUGAGCAUUCCAAUAAUGUUGAUGAACCUGUCUGUGUGUCCUUUGUAGCAUCUUAAUUGUGUAAAAGUUGGUUUGAUAAUGGAUAAAAGCCACUACAUCAUGAAAUAGAUGAAUAAAAAAUUGACAUGUACACAUUAAAAACCCAAGAAUUAUGUGAAGGUAUGAACUUUCCAGUGUUUGAUGAGUGGAAAAAUGUUGUUUGAUUUUAUCAUUUGUACGUUUCCAUUUACUAACAAAGAAAGGAGGAAAAAUGAGUAUUGUGUGUGGAGAGAGAUUGUAGUAAUAGAAAAAGUACAUUGAAUUGUUAAGUUUUGAGAAAUGGUAGUUGUAGUGGAAUGAAGGUGUAAAUUUCGAUAGAAAGAAAACAUUGAGUGGUUUUGCAUGUCAUGGUGUUGAAAUGAUAUGUAUUGUAAUGGCUAACAAUGAAUGAUUGUGUUAUUUUGUUGAAGUUGUUUUGAUGAAUGAAGUUGUUGUAGAAAUUGUUAGUUGAUGUGAAUUAAGGAUUUAGUUGAUAUAAUGUGAGAGAGGAACAUAUUUACUAUGAACUUGACAUCAGUAAGCUGAUGUUUGGAGUUUAGUUUGAGUGAGAGGGUUAUGUUAGGUGGUGUGUUGUGUAUUUGAAUGUGUUUUCUGGUGUUUUGCAGGAGUGGUGAAAUGCUGCUGUGGGAUUGGUUGAUUCCAUUUAUGGCGUGUGAGCCGGCCCUUGUAAUAAGAAGUUGAUGAAGGUCAGAUGUGAGUAAUCAAAAAUAAUGCUGUUCAGGUGGUGGAAUGGGCAGUAUAUAAGGAGACGGUGCAAGCGUCAGCGUUUUUGCGUCAGUGGAAGAAGUCCAAACCGGAAGAAGUCCAAAGCGGAAAAAGUCCAGACUGCGGGAGUAGUCCAGAGUGGGGAGAGAGUCCAGACCGGGGAGGGAGACCAGACCGAGGAGGGAGUCCAGAACGUGGAGGGAGACCAGACCGAGGAGGGAGUCCAGAACGUGGAGGGAGACCAGACCGAGGAGGGAGUCCAGAACGUGGAGGGAGACCAGACCGAGGAGGGAGUCCAGAACGUGGAGGGAGACCAGACCGAGGAGGGAGUCCAGAAAGUGGAGGCAGACCAGACUGUGGAGGGAGUCCAGACGGCAGAGGGAAUCCAGACGUGCAGAGAGAAUCCAGACAUGCAGAAGACUCCCGACAUGCUGACUCUUCGACGUGCUGACUCCAUCAUCUGACUCCUUCCUCAGACUCACUCCUCAGACACACCCACGCGCCCACCACCUUCUUCUCUACUGCCUAAUCCAGCAUGCUGCAUGUGGUGGACCAUGUUCCUCAGUCUACACCGCUAAGCUAACAUGGAUCACUUCUUUGGAACAACUCAAUCUGCACUGAACUCACCAAUCCCAUUACAGAGUCCAACCUACAUGAUCAGGACAUGUGAUAACUACCAAUGAACAAUUGUUUCUUUUGUAGUACAACAAUGUGGAUCAACACUUAUCCAUCUCCACCCUUCUGCAUCUCUUAACUACAUAUUUAUACACCAACAGGUGAAGAUCGUGAAUUCUUUGACAGACUCAACCAGCUGCAAUGAAAACACCACCAUCAUUGGUCGGGAGUGUUCUCACAUCUAUGAGGCUUCCUAGGAUUCUCUGGAGGGCAGCACAUGUACUGACAGCAGCAGCAUUCAAUAUUCCUCAGUCUCCAACUUACAAUUACAUUUCAAACAUUGUCACAUAAUUGUUAAAACCUUUCAAUUCACUUUUACUUAUCUUAGCAAAUCUUUAGUUUCACAAUCCAUUUAUUGCCUUUUGUACUCAUUUUCUUUCCUCUUUUUCUUUAACUUUACAGAUUCUUCUUUAUUAAUGUAUUUGAAUUGGUGUUGCAAAUAAAUCUUCUUAUUCAAGAUUACUUCUUGAUUUAACUUUGAGGACCAGGGAAGUAACUUACCAUGUUUUUUUCCAUGUUAAACCUGCCCCCCUAGAUGUGUUCGCAACAACAUGUGAUUAACCAACACACAAAUAAACUGUGAUGUUGAAUCAUG